GCGGCUCCAAGGUAGGGGAAGGUCUGGGUGUCCACCAGGCGGCCUCGCCAAGGAGGAACUUGGCACAAAUUCUCCAGCUCGCAGGGAGAGCGGGCAAAAGCCAGCAAGCCGGAGUACGAAGAGCGCCCCCGUGGGAGGCGGGAGCUGAGGCUGCCACCGAGCCACCCGCCUUUGCCCCCAAACCCAGGGCAGAGGGGCUGCGGGGACCGGUACGGCCCCCGAACCGAGCUGGAGCUGCCGGGAGGAAAGUCAGGUCCCCUCUGCGCUCCGGGUUCGCCCCCCGCCCCCCGCCCGCGGGGAAGAUGCCCCGGGCCCCGGCACGCAGCGGCGGGGGCUCCUCCCCGCGGGGAAGAUGCCCCGGGCCCGGGUCGCGGAAGGGCGGGCGUGGCCCAGGGAAUCCCGCGAAGCCGCCCCAGCGCCUGCCGGCGGGGCGCCCCGGGCUUUCCCCGCCGCCGGGUGCGCGGCGCCCGCCCGGCGCGGACCCUCCUGCCCCGCGGAGCGCGAGCCCCGGAGCCAAGCAGGAUCCCCUCGCGUCCUCCCGCCGCCUCCCCCGGGGCUUUCGCGCUGGAGACGGUGAAGGGAGUCAGGGAUGUGAGGACGGGGGGAGACGCCGGGAGCUGCCGCCCGCCGGGGAGACCCUCCUCUCCGCCGAGGGGAGGGGGACCGCCAGCCACAGAUCAUUGGCGAAGGGGACCGUCGCGGGGAGAGGAGCCCCGGAGGGAGCGGGGGAUCCCACGACCCUGCGUGGCGCCCGAGCCGUGCCGCCGGCCAGCGGGGUCGGUGGGAGCAGAGGCUAA
rnacentral:lncRNA from 1 species